AUUGAACGCUGGCGGCAUGCUUUACACAUGCAAGUCGAGCGGUAACAGGCCUUCGGGUGCUGACGAGUGGCGAACGGGUGAGUAAUGCAUCGGAACGUACCCAGAGGUGGGGGAUAACGCAGCGAAAGCUGUGCUAAUACCGCAUGUGAUCUGAGGAUGAAAGCGGGGGACCGAGCAGCAAUGUUUGGCCUCGCGCCUUUGGAGCGGCCGAUGUCGGAUUAGCUAGUUGGUGGGGUAAAGGCCUACCAAGGCGACGAUCCGUAGCUGGUCUGAGAGGACGACCAGCCACACUGGGACUGAGACACGGCACAGACUCCUACGGGAGGCAGCAGUGGGGAAUGUUGGACAAUGGGCGCAAGCCUGAUCCAGCAAUGCCGCGUGCGGGAAGAAGGCCUUCGGGUUGUAAACCGCUUUUGGCAGGAACGAAACGGUGUCCGCUAAUACCGGGCGCUAAUGACGGUACCUGCAGAAUAAGCACCGGCUAACUACGUG
rnacentral:rRNA from 1 species